rnacentral:rRNA from 1 species
UUGGAGGCAAGUCUGGUGCAGCAGCGCGGUAAUUCCAGCUCCAAUAGCGUAUGUUAAAGUUGUUGCAGUUAAAAAGCUCGUAGUUGAAUUUCGGGGUCAGUAGGUUGGUCAUGCCACUGGUAUGUACUGGUCUCACUGAUUCCUCCUUCCUGAUGAGCCGUAAUGCCAUUAAUUUGGUUGUUGCGAGGAAUCUGGACUGUUACUUUGAAAAAAUUAGAGUGUUUAAAGCAAGCUAACGCUUGAAUACAUUAGCAUGGAAUAAUGAAAUAGGACGUUCGAUCCUAUUUUGUUGGUUUCUAGGAUUGACGUAAUGAUUAAUAGGGAUAGUUGGGGGCAUUAGUAUUCAAUUGUCAGAGGUGAAAUUCUUGGAUUUAUUGAAGACUAACUACUGCGAAAGCAUUUGCCAAGGAUGUUUUCAUUAAUCAAGAACGAAAGUUAGGGGAUCGAAGACGAUCAGAUACCGUCGUAGUCUUAACCAUAAACUAUGCCGACUAGGGAUCGGAUGAUGUUAAUUUUUUAAUGACUCAUUCGGCGCCUUACGGGAAAC